rnacentral:misc_RNA from 1 species
UUCGGUAACUCGGCUUUUAAUAAGCUGUGUUACGCUGAAAUACAUUCCCGAUAGAGUGCUUGAAAAAGAAUAUUUAUGUUAUACAAUUUUUCCCUAUCUAUUAUAAGUGUAAAGAUGUGUGUAUAAAUGAGGAACAUUUAAGUAGAGGUGAAGAUAAAUUAAAUUUCAUUUAUACAAAUGUGAGAAAAAUGCUUCAAUCCUUGGGCCUCUUGCUCAUUGAUUUUCUCUUGUUCACUUCCAAGUAUCUCUUUCUUAGCCUAAUGGCUUUUGGUGUAACCUCAAUAAGCUCAUCGGAAGCAACAUAUCCUAUGGCUUCUUCGAGGGACAUAAGGCGGGGAGGAGUUAACUUGACAUUCUCAUCCUUGCUAGCGCACCUUAUAUUGUUG